CAGACCUGGUGUCUGUGAGUCCCAGAAAAGAAGAAACCACAGAGCCACCUAAAGGGCAUGAGCAUCCCCAUGAAAAUGAAAGAGAAUGUCUGCCAACCACUAGGCUGGGGUUUCGGCAUCAAAAGGAUUCCACCUCUCUUGCCACACUCAAAAGAGUCCAUCAGUCUGGAGCUGAAGUUGGAGGACACCCAGUUCAGCUCACCUUCAUUAGCAAAAGGAAGGAAGUGUAAGGACGUGUUGACACAGGUCCUAUCAGGAGAUGUGUGAAUUUCUUUGGAAGAAGAUUGAAUUUCAGACAUCUUCAGCCAAGGCACUUUAGAUCCUUUGUCUCUGGUUCGAACAUGGAAACAAGCUUCUUCUGGGAUCUCACCUCAGCUCCUCGGAGUUCUCUUUUCUUUUCUUUUCAUUUCUUUAUUCCCUUUUGCUGCCCCUGUGGUUUUAUUGAGUUUUAUGUUCCUUAGUCUCUUAUCUGCUUAUUAGAGGGUGUUUGUCUACUACAGUUCUAUCUUUCUUGUUAUUAUAUAUAUUAUUUUCUUACAGUGGUUUAUUUUUGCAAUAAAUGUUGCCUGUGCAUUUUAUGCUUUAUUCAACAAUUUUAUUUGCUCUUGACUCGUAUAAGUUCUUUUAUAGAGAGUCAUCUGUGCUAGUGAUAAAAACAAAAAAAUUAGCUCAAAUUUUACCAUCAAGAUAUACUCACUAUUAAGAGUUAGAUUAUUUCAUAUAUUCCCCAUGUUUUUAAUUGUAUAACAACUAUGUACAUAGUAUAGAUGUAAAGACAGAUUUAUAGUUAAAAUCUGUCUGUCAUUCAGAUCAUAAUAGAAACCAUGGUAAACUCAGAGGUGCCUAUAUGUGUUUUCCCAGUCACCACAUAAGUCACAUCAACUUGGCUUUUUGGAUACUUAUUUUUAUUGCUUUACCUUAUAAUUUUCUCACCCAAGUAUGCAUAAGUAUGUAUUCCUAGAUAA